AAAGGGCGGCCAUCAUCAUCAUCAGCACCCGAACGUAAACACGGCCAGCCUGGCGGACACGUGCUGGACCCAUCAACACCAUGGUGGACAACCUGGCACACCCCCGGCCAAUACACAGACCACACUGACCUCCUCCAACAGACACUGGACCACCAGACUAACGGCUGACCUCAGACAACUCACGCUACAGACACUCCCCCGCACAGCACCACUCCCCCAGCCGGCCCUUGGACACACCCGCCUGAGGACUGGCCACACCCGCCUCACCUGCACAGACUGAACACAGUCCACACUGCCCAUGGUGCCCCACACACACCAAAACACCCCCUCCUCCACUGCCCAAGAUCCACUCACCAACCUCAAGUCAUCCCUAACCAGCCUCCGCAUUCACAGGCCAACCCUGGAGGACCUGCUGGGCAGUGACACCCUCUGCCCCAACACCCAAGCCUUCCAAGUGUACGCAAACCUUCCUGCAGAAGGCGGGGCGGCAACUCGACAGGAUCUAACCCACUCUGGUGACAGAACGACAAACAAAAGCCUGAUACCAACCACCACUGACGGGGCUGUGAAGGCUGUGGCCCCACAGCCCCAUAAAACACCCAAGAAGAAGAAGAAGGUGAUGCCCCGGAGGAUAUGGACCCCGCCAGCCACCCAGCGCCCCCUUCCUCCCUCCUCCUCCUGGUGACGGGAGAAGACAGGAGGAUGAGGAGGAGAGAAGAAGGAGGAGGAGGAGGAGGAGGGUUAGUGCCUGAUCCAGCAAGGUGAUUCACUGUCACCUGUCACUGUCCGUCCACCCUCAGGAAAGACCUUUGAGAUCCAGGUGAGGAGGGUGUGGCCAAUCAGGUACGGGAUCCUGCUGGAGCAGCGAGUGACGGCCUCAGAGAUUGACGCCCAGAAGAAUGAACCGGAAAGCCUCCCGACCUUUUACAGUUUGCUGAACCCGCUGGACGAAACCAAUCCGCUGCUCUAUUGAACAGGCUACAGCGGGUCAGACCGUCAUAAGAACAUAAGAACAUAAGAACGCAGGAGUCUACAAGAGGCCGGUAGGCCUGUACGAGGCAGCUCCUUUGACCCUAAGCUCCCGUGUAUCUAACCCCACCUAAUAUCGCUGUCCAUGAAUUUAUCUAGUCUAUUUUUGAAUGUGACAAUUGUAUUGGCACUCACCACAUGACUGCUAAGCCUAUUCCACUCAUCCACCACCCUGUUAGUAAACCAAUUUUUGCCUAUGUCCCUGUUGAAUCUGAAUUUAUCCAGUUUAAACCCGUUACUUCGUGUCCUACCCGGUUCUCUUACCAACAAAACCUUAUGAAU